GAGGGAAGUUUGCUCUGUUCACCGGAUGUCUGGGGUGCCGCAGCCGAGAGCGCGGUGGUCCCCAGAAGCAGGAACCCUGUGAUCACGCAUCUUAUCACAUAUCCUUUGGAAUGGUAGCAAAGAUCAGCACAGGUGCUGAAGACAGCUAGUCACUGGGUGUUGAAAGCUAGUCUGCUAGUGAGGCUAAAAAGAAGCUGACUCUCAGAUGGGAAUUGUGCUAGAAGGACUGAGAAGGAUACAGUCUCCAAAAGUGAACUUUACUACAAGAGCCAGGGGAUUGAGCUGGAAAAUCCCUCGUAGCAACCGGCGAACAUGAUGUGGAAUAGAAGCCAAAUCCAUGAUCAAACCGGCAUCACUGCGAGGCCAACGAGCGACUGAAGCAUGUUGGAGUCUAGCAGCUGCUGCGUGUUCUACCACUGGACGUGAUGCUGAGCCCCUGACUUAUAUGGGACAUGACAGUGGAUAUAGUGCUCACAUAUGGAGCUAGAUCAAUGGGAAGUCACAGCUAAGAGCCAACAGGCAAAGCGGGAAAACCAGAUGACCGGAUCAAUUACUGGUAAAGUGUAGAAUCAGAAAAGAGCUGAAAUGUCACCUGUGCUUGCUGUUCAAUCUUAA